UACGAAGGGUGCAAGCGUUAAUCGGAAUUACUGGGCGUAAAGGGCGCGUAGGCGGCCUAAUAAGUCAGAUGUGAAACCCCCGGGCUUAACCCAGGGCUUGCAUUUGAAACUGUUGGGCUUGAGGACAGGAGAGGAAAGCGGAAUUCCCAGUGUAGCGGUGAAAUGCGUAGAUAUUGGGAGGAACACCAGUGGCGAAGGCGGCUUUCUGGACUGAACCUGACGCUGAGGCGCGAAAGCCAGGGGAGCGAACGGG
rnacentral:rRNA from 1 species